CACACAUCAGAGUUGUAAUCAGAGGAGUAGACAUUACUUGUUUCAGUUUCAUCCAAGUUCCUACAGGCAUUUGGUACAGAAUCAGAGUCCCAAAUGGGCACAUUUGCUUGGCCAAGCUUAAGUCACAGGCUUUUCUAACUGCCAAAGGAAAAAAAAAAAAGAAGAAGAAGAAGGAAAACAUAUGCCAUAGUAUGAUAUAGGGCUCUUUCUCGAACUUUUCUAGGAAUUUCUCCAAAAUUAGAAGGGCAUUCAAAUGCCUGAGAAUGGAGAGCAACUUGUAAUUGCCUGUAUACUUGCCUUCACGCACAGUAAGAGCCUAUGUAAUCAACCUAAUCUCCAUGAAUAACGUGCCUAUGGGAGAAUUUAUUCUUCAUUUCAAAUUGGAACUCUAAAAAUAUAUCUCCCUUUACUGUGUACAUAAUAUCAGAACUGGAGAUUCUCCCUGUUCCAAAUUAUUUAUGGAAGUUCCUGUGGCCUACUGCGGAGUCUUUAAGAAGGGAAAACCUGGGGAAUGAAUGAGGAUGAAGUACGGAGCAUUCUAAAGAAUGAGAAUUUCUUGUCAGCAUAAAACCUCUGAGGUGACUUUUC